AUGACUCUGAUCUGCGUCCUCAUCUGGACUCUCCUCUGCUGCUGCUUCACAGAGUCCAGAGGACAGGUCACAGUGACUCAGCCUGCAGCAGUGAGCUCUGCUCCGGGAGGCUCCGUCACCAUCUCAUGCAGGACCAGUCAGAAUGUUUAUUAUAGCGGCUACCACUACUUAGGCUGGUACCAACAGAAAGAUGGAGAAACUCCUAAACUGUUCCUUUAUGCUGCUAGCUAUCGAGUAUCAGGGAUUCCACGUCGUUUUACAGGCAGUGGAUCACACUCAAACUUUGCUCUGACCAUCAGUGGAGUCCAGACUGAAGAUGCUGCAGUUUACUACUGUCAGAGUCUCCAUCAGAUCAACAGUCAGUAUCUGUACACACAGUGAAAAAGCGUCGUACAAAAACCUCCUUCAGUCAGACUGAACAGAAACUGAACUGACAGCUGCAGCUGGAAGCUUCUGCAGAGACUGACACACUUCACUGAAGACACACACACACACACACACACAC